rnacentral:rRNA from 1 species
AUGCACGCUGGCGGCGUGCCUAAUACAUGCAAGUCGAGCGAACAGACGAGGAGCUUGCUCCUCUGACGUUAGCGGCGGACGGGUGAGUAACACGUGGAUAACCUACCUAUAAGACUGGGAUAACUUCGGGAAACCGGAGCUAAUACCGGAUAAUAUAUUGAACCGCAUGGUUCAAUAGUGAAAGACGGUUUUCUGUCACUUAUAGAUGGAUCCGCGCCGCAUUAGCUAGUUGGUAAGGUAACGGCUUACCAAGGCAACGAUGCGUAGCCGACCUGAGAGGGUGAUCGGCCACACUGGAACUGAGACACGGUCCAGACUCCUACGGGAGGCAGCAGUAGGGAAUCUUCCGCAAUGGGCGAAAGCCUGACGGAGCAACGCCGCGUGAGUGAUGAAGGUCUUCGGAUCGUAAAACUCUGUUAUUAGGGAAGAACAAAUGUGUAAGUAACUAUGCACGUCUUGACGGUACCUAAUCAGAAAGCCACGGCUAACUACGUG